rnacentral:rRNA from 1 species
GCAUAUCAAUAAGCGGAGGUAAAGAAACCAACAGGGAUUGCCCUAGUAACGGCGAGUGAAGCGGCAACAGCUCAAAUUUGAAAUCUGGCCUUCGGGUCCGAGUUGUAAUUUGCAGAGGAUGCUUUUGGCGCGGUGCCUUCCGAGUUCCCUGGAACGGGACGCCUUAGAGGGUGAGAGCCCCGUACGGUUGGACACCAAGCCUCUGUAAAGCUCCUUCGACGAGUCGAGUAGUUUGGGAAUGCUGCUCUAAAUGGGAGGUAAAUUUCUUCUAAAGCUAAAUACCGGCCAGAGACCGAUAGCGCACAAGUAGAGUGAUCGAAAGAUGAAAAGCACUUUGAAAAGAGGGUUAAAUAGCACGUGAAAUUGUUGAAAGGGAAGCGUUUACGGCCAGACCUUUUCCUGGCGGAUCAUCUGGUGUACUCACCAGUGCACUUCGCCAGGUUUAGGCCAGCAUCGGCUUCCGUUAGGGGGAUAAAAGCAGUGGGAAAGUAGCUCCCUCGGGAGUGUUAUAGCCCCUAAGCAUAAUACCCUUACGGGCCCCGAGGACCGCGCUCUUGCAAGGAUGCUGG